GUAACAAGGUCUCCGUAGGUGAACCUGCGGAGGGAUCAUUACACAAAUAUGAAGGCGGGCUGGAACCUCUCGGGGUUACAGCCUUGAUGAAUUAUUCACCCUUGUCUUUUGCGUACUUCUUGUUUCCUUGGUGGGUUCGCCCACCACUAGGACAAACAUAAACCUUUUGUAAUUGCAAUCAGCGUCAGUAACAAAUUAAUAAUUACAACUUUCAACAACGGAUCUCUUGGUUCUGGCAUCGAUGAAGAACGCAGCGAAAUGCGAUAAGUAGUGUGAAUUGCAGAAUUCAGUGAAUCAUCGAAUCUUUGAACGCACAUUGCGCCCUUUGGUAUUCCAAAGGGCAUGCCUGUUCGAGCGUCAUUUGUACCCUCAAGCUUUGCUUGGUGUUGGGCGUCUUGUCUCUAGCUUUGCUGGAGACUCGCCUUAAAGUAAUUGGCAGCCGGCCUACUGGUUUCGGAGCGCAGCACAAGUCGCACUCUCUAUCAGCAAAGGUCUAGCAUCCAUUAAGCCUUUUUCAACUUUGACCUCGGAUCAGGUAGG
rnacentral:rRNA from 1 species